rnacentral:lncRNA from 1 species
GUAGAAGAUACCCAUCCAAGCUGCCUGCAGCUCUGUCCCAACUGCAGUAAAUCCGAUCGUACGGCGUCCUCUGACUGCAACCAGCCUGCCAAGAUGGUCUCUGAUCACAAAUCUCACACCUCCGAACAUCGCAUCCAUCAACAUACUGUCGUUAAAGUUUAUCUUGCAAAAAUAUUUCUCAUUUUCCAAAUUUGUCAAAGAACAUUAGCAAAAUCUGUAAGGAAAGGAUCCUUUAUCUCCAAAGACACCUGAGACCCACUCGCCAUUCUUCGAUUCACCCGGAAAAGGGAAAUGGUCUUAAAUUCCUGCCAAGAGGCUACCAGUGUUAGAACGGC